UGUAGCAGCUGUAUCAUCCUGCAGCCCAAGACUGGUUACUCACUGAAGCUAAGCAGGGCUGAGCCUGGUCAGUACCUGGAUGGGAGACCACAUGGGAAAAAUAGGUUGGUGUUGGAA
rnacentral:rRNA from 1 species